CCAGAAAUAGUGCGAUCUUCGACUUCCUCUCUCUCACAUCACUUUACUAAACCAAAGUAUUCGUUUGCAUAUAAUCUAUCGUCUCUCUCUUUACAAGUUCUCUCUCUCACUUCGUGGAUCUAACUGGGUCUUUCUCAUAUCUCCGAUAAUUGUCUGAACUAAUGAUGAACUGAUGAUCAACGCUAACAUUCUGGUGAAAUCAACUGAUAUCUGACAAAGAGCAGAGGAAGAAAAAUAAAAAAAAAAGAUAGUUCAUCAAUGGGCGGAUCGGGUUCACGCGGGUGCGGGAUGGUUGAUCGGUCAUCUGAACCGUAUCUGUGAAUUUUAAAAUAUUUCAUCUGUAUCCAUCCGCCGAAAGAUACGUAUCUGUCCAAAAUCAAUCAGGUUGGAUCGAUUCAGUCGGGUUAGGUGAGUUGGACGGAUCCAUGAUCACCUCUGGUUGCAACAUUCAAGGGGUAUCAGUAUUUGAUGAAAUGAAGUUAAAAGGCAAGAAGCAUACUAGUAACAAAAGUUUCUUUGUCUGUUGUGUUAUUUGUUGGGUAGUUCAAAUGGUUUGUUUAAGAACAAGAACUUACCAAUGCAAAUAAGAGCUUACAAUUGAACCAAUGUGUUUAUUGCUGAUUGAGUAUUGGAUGGAAAGGAAAUGCUAUUUUGUUUGGUGGAAGAGUAGUAGUUUGGUGAGAAUUUGUAGUUAUGAAUUUAUGUUUUUAUUCUUCUUUGUAGACUACGUCUCAGGCUUUGUUUUUCUUAUUACUUGGAAGCAUUAUUGUUAACAUUUGUUAUGUGGUA